UACGGAGGGGGCUAGCGUUGUUCGGAAUUACUGGGCGUAAAGCGCACGUAGGCGGCUUUGUAAGUUAGAGGUGAAAGCCCGGGGCUCAACUCCGGAAUUGCCUUUAAGACUGCAUCGCUUGAAUCCAGGAGAGGUGAGUGGAAUUCCGAGUGUAGAGGUGAAAUUCGUAGAUAUUCGGAAGAACACCAGUGGCGAAGGGCGGCUCACUGGACUGGUAUUGAACGCUGAGGUGGCGAAAGCGUGGGGAGCAAACAGG
rnacentral:rRNA from 1 species